AUUACUACACAUUUUAUUGACUUAUUCUCUUCUAACUAAAUCUAUCGGUCAUAACUGGCAGACUAGUCAGUAGAUGCUGUCUGUUUGGUAUUUAACCAGUGACUCUGAAUAACAAAUAUACUGCAUAUGCAGAGCUGUUACGACCACAAUCCAAAUUCUAGUCUAACCCUUGUGAAUCAUCAAGAUUAUUUAGUAUUCGGUACAUGGUACACUAUGUUAAUCCCCAAGUUGUCUUUUCACAUGACCUUUGGAGGCCAGAGCACAGGGUCAGCCGUCAUACAGCAUCCCUGGUGCAAUUUUUUAAGGUUAACAGCCUUGCUCAAGGGCCCAACAGAGUACAAUCCCUUCUGGCACUAAUGGGAUUUGAACCGGCAGGCUUACAGAUACCAGCACAGAUCCUUACAGUGGCAUUAAGGGACAUUUAUUAAGGAUGCAAUCUAAACAUGUUAAUAAAA